GAAAUGCGAUAAGUAGUGUGAAUUGCAGAAUUCAGUGAAUCAUCGAAUCUUUGAACGCACAUUGCGCCCCUUGGUAUUCCAUGGGGCAUGCCUGUUCGAGCGUCAUUUGUACCCUCAAGCUCUGCUUGGUGUUGGGUGUUUGUCCCCGCCUCCGCGCGUGGACUCGCCCCAAAGUGAUUGGCAGCCGGCGUACUGGUCCCGGAGCGCAGCACAUGUCGCGCAAACGAGUGCCUUGGUACGGCGGCGUCCAUAAGCCCCUCUCUCACGCUCUUGACCUCGGAUCAGGUAGGGAUACCCGCUGAACUUAAGC
rnacentral:misc_RNA from 1 species